GAAGCUGGAAUUGCUAGUAAUGGCAGGUCAGCAUACUGCCGUGAAUACGUUCCCGGGCCUUGUACACACCGCCCGUCACACCAUGAGAGUUGGAAAUACCCGAAGCCUGUGAGCUAACUUAAAGAGGCAGCAGUCGAAGGUAGAGCCAAUGAUUGGGGUGAAGUCGUAACAAGGUACC
rnacentral:rRNA from 1 species